CAGUCGCCACGGGAAUACGAAGGGUGCAAGCGUUAAUCGGAAUUACUGGGCGUAAAGCGUGCGUAGGCGGUGAGUUAAGUCUGCUGUGAAAUCCCCAGGCUCAACCUGGGAAUGGCAGUGGAUACUGGCUCGCUAGAGUGUGUCAGAGGAUGGUGGAAUUCCCGGUGUAGCGGUGAAAUGCGUAGAGAUCGGGAGGAACAUCAGUGGCGAAGGCGGCCAUCUGGGACAACACUGACGCUGAGGCACGAAAGCGUGGGGAGCAAACAGGAUUAGAUACCCCAGUAGUCCCUGUCUCUUAUAC
rnacentral:rRNA from 1 species